GUUUUCUAUGGGGACAUCCGAGAAUACUAGAAUGAUACAGAGAAGAUAAGCAUGACCUCUCCACAAAGAUGAUACACAUAAAUCGAGAAUGUUAACUGGCCUAG